rnacentral:rRNA from 1 species
CAGCCGCCGCGGGAAUACGAAGGGGGCUAGCGUUGCUCGGAAUCACUGGGCGUAAAGGGUGCGUAGGCGGGUCUUUAAGUCAGGGGUGAAAUCCUGGAGCUCAACUCCAGAACUGCCUUUGAUACUGAAGAUCUUGAGUUCGGGAGAGGUGAGUGGAACUGCGAGUGUAGAGGUGAAAUUCGUAGAUAUUCGCAAGAAUACCAGUGGCGAAGGCGGCUCACUGGCCCGAUACUGACGCUGAGGCACGAAAGCGUGGGGAGCAAACAGGAUUAGAUACCCGAGUAGUCCCUGUCUCUUAUAC